AGAUCGGAGAGGGCACAGGGCCAGGGACUCUGGCCAGACAUAGGCCCAGGUCUGUGGCUGGCCAACUGCGGCUGUGGGGCCUGGCAUGUGUCUCAACAUGGCACUGGAGCUCUACAUGGACCUGCUGUCAGCACCCUGCCGUGCCGUCUACAUCUUCUCGAAGAAGCAUGACAUCCAGUUCAACUUUCAGUUUGUGGAUCUGCUGAAAGGUCAACUCCCACUGCUGCCUGGCAGGCCUGGUCCUGGGGGGAGGCAGGACACACAGAUUGCGGCUUUUCUUUUUUUCUUGUUUUUUGAUGGAGUCUCGCUCUGUUGCCCAGCAUGGAGUACGGUGGUGCUAUCUCGGCUCACUGCAACCUCUGCUGGGUUCAAGUGCGUCUCCUGCCUCAGCCUCCCGAGUAGCUGGGAUUAGAGGUGCAUGCCACCACGCCCAGCUAAUUUUUUGUAUUUUUAACAGGGGUUUCACCAUGUUGGCCAGGCUGGUCUCAAACUCCUGACCUCAAGUGAUCUGCCCACCUCAGCCUCCAGAGUGCUGGGAUUACAGGCGUGAGCCACCGCGCACAGCCUGAUAGGGGCGUUUCUGAGGAGCAGAGACAGAGACAAGGGAAUCACCCCAGAGGUCCACAGGGAAGGAAAAGAUGCCACGCGGCUUGUAGGCUGCAUCCUUGUCCAGCCUACCUUAGUCAGUGCUCACUAAUGACAGUCCCCACGCCACAGAUGAACAGGCUUUUCGAGGAGAAGGGGGAAGGAACAGUAGCUGGGACUCCCUGGGCUCCCACCAGGCACCCUGGCUUCCUUGUGGGAUUCUAGGACCUUGUGAACUCAGCACCUGCCCACCAGGUUGGCAAAGGGGGCAGAAGUGCACAGUCCGUCUACACCCAUCCUCCCCAGUGUUCAGAAAGGCUCAGGGCUCCACUAACCCUGAGUGAGGGUCAGAGGGGUGGGCUCCAACUCCAUCCCCAGCACAGAGGGACUCCAAAAGCUCAGCCUGCAAAAGCAGAAGCCUCUAGAACACAGAGGAAGAGACAGGGAAGCUGUGGAAAUGAACGGGCUGCGAGUGGAGCCCCCAGAAAUGUUUCCAACUGGAGGCGGCUGGUCCAGGAAGAGUUUCAGUUCCUGCCCCCACCUCAGGUUCCCUGUUAAGAUGACCCUGAUUGUGUCCGAGAAGCUUCCCUUUGGAUGUCCAGCUGUGUGCUGGGCCUGGCUUCCUUAAAGUGGAGACAGAGUGAGAGCGAUGGGAUUGCGGAUGGGACCCAGGCCCUCAGGGCUUCAGGUCACCACCACAGCAAAGGAUACAUUGACAUCAACCCCCUCAGGAAGCUGCCCAGCCUCAAAGAUGGGAAAUUUAUCUUAAGUGAAAGUUGCUGAUCCCAAAGAUAACAGGGAAGGAAGUUUCAGCUGAGAAGAUGGAGCAUGCAGUGGAAGAGGUGAAGAACAGCCUGCAGCUCUUUGAGGAGUAUUUUCUGCAGGAUAAGAUGUUCAUCACCGGGAACCAAAUCUCACUGGCUGACCUGGUGGCCGUGGUGGAGAUGAUGCAGCCCAUGGCAGCCAACUAUAAUGUCUUCCUCAACAGCUCCAAGCUAGCUGAGUGGCGUAUGCGGGUGGAGCUGAAUAUUGGCUGUGGCCUCUUUAGGGAGGCCCAUGAUCGACUAAUGCAGUUGGCCGACUGGGACUUUUCAACAUUGGAUCCAAUGGUCACGAGGAAAAUCUGCCGGGCACGGUGGCUCACGCCUGUAAUCCCAGCACUUUGAGAGGCCGAGGCUGGCAGGUCACUUGAGGCCAGGAGUUCAAGACCAGCCUGGCCAACAUGGUGAAACCCUGUCUCUACUAAAAAUACAAUUAGCUGAGCAUGGUGGCACAUGCCUGAAAUCCCAGCUACCCGGGUGGCUGAGGCACGAGAAUCGCUUGAACCCAGGAGGCAGAGGUUGCAGUGAGCAGAGAUUGCACCACUGCACUUCAGCCUGAGUGACAGAGAGGGGCAAAGUCAAAAAACAAACAAACGAACCAACCCACACACUCUCACUUUUAUCUUGUUUCUAUAAAUUAAUAAAUACAGCCUUUGUGAGUUGG